rnacentral:lncRNA from 1 species
ACAAAAGCUUGUGACUAGGCCCCUUUGUUCCCAGGAAACAGCAGACAGUGAGCCGCAGGGCAGGGCCUCUCCAUGCCGUGAAUUCCCGCUUGUCCUUUCUCACAUAAUCUCAAGUGAGGCUUAUUUACAGCUCCUUGUCUGCCUUCCACCGGGGUGGCACUGGAGUGCCUCCCUGGCUAUUCUCACCCCACAUCUCUUGGAGAUCGUUCCCUCUUAGGACACAUGGCCUUGCCUCAUUGGCUGGAGUGACUGCGUGGUAUUCCGUCUCAUGAGUGUGUCAUGAUGCAUUUAACCCUUCAUCCCCUGUGGAUGGAAGGUUAGGCUGGAUCCCGUCUUUUGCAACCUGAACAAUGUUGGAGAGAUACCAUUUGUGUGCUGGGGGAGACGCAGCCCUAGAAGUGAAGCUGAUGCAGCAAGGGGAGCCAGGGAGGCACAUUGUAAAUGGUGGCGGGUGGUUCCAAAUGGCUCUCGAGAGUACACUCCACCACGAAUAUGUGAGGUGCCUGUGCUCCCCCCGCCCCCGACGUGACAGGUAGAAACUGAUAUUUUUCCUAGUUCUAAUUUGCAUUGAUUUUCUUAGGCUAGGGAUUUUGAAUGACGUGUGUAUCCUAAGGGCCAGGCAGGAGCUAUGUUUCAUUUCCCACAGAAAGCCUCAGAUCACUGGCCUGGGCAGAGAGGAAUGAGAAGCUGGGGCACCUUCUUCAUGUCCUCAAGAGCAGCAAGUCUCUGUUCUGGUCAUUCAAACUCAGUGCCCUAAAAAUGACCAUUAUGUGACCUUGCAUGGCUCUGUGGGGUGGCGGGGCUCAGCUGGGUGGGUCUUCUGCUGCUCUUGCUUGGGGUCUCUUGAGAAGAUGGUCCUGGGGAUGAAGCCAUUGGAGGCUUGGCUCUGAUGCUGUGAUGGUCAGGCCUCGCUUCUCCUCCAGGUGAUCUCAGGGCCUGUCCCUCUCCAUGGGGCCUCUCCACCUGGACGACUUGAGUGGUGCUCAAAGCUCCCAAGGGAGCAAACACCGAGGCUGUCAGGCCUUCUUGAGGCGGAGGCCCAGAGUGGCACAGCCUCACCCCCACGGCACUCUCCUGGAAUGAGUCCCAGAUAGUCCACAAGGGUGUGAUGUUGGGUGACCGUGCUCUGGGCGUGGUGGAUCAGCUGCUGGACGGUGAGAGGCACUCCCUGCAGGGUAGGUGGACGGCUGCCCCCAGGGCCUUACACAGCAAGGCCAGGGGACGGCCACCCUGGCCGGUGAGCCCGACUUCCAGGCAAGGCGCCUUCCUUGCAUCCCAGCUUGUUUGGAGCCUCCAGGACAUCCCUACUGAGGGUCCCACAGGAGCCUGGGUCUGGACAGGGACCCUCUCACCUCAAGUCAGACACCUUUCAUCCCCAACAGCAGAGGGACUGAUACCUCCCCCUGGCUACCCUCUGUCGCCCGAAGCCAGCCCUGACUUUGUGCAGGCGCCACUCACCUUCCUGAGGGUCCACCUGCCUCCCAGCUGGCUGUGCUCCCAGCCACCCUCCCUGCACAUGAAUGGGCCAACGAAGUCCAGAUAGCAAUGUCUGCCCAUCACAUAUCCCCCAGCCUGACCCCAUAUCCAGCAUCCCAGCACCCACCCUGUUCUGCUGGCACCCACCUGCCUCAGCCCUGCUUCGUGGUGUCAGAGGCAGGCCUAUCCUCCUGGCACCUCGACCCAGGAAGCUGCUGGGCAGCGCCUCCAGCCAGGGCCCUCCUCCCCUGGGCUGAGGCUGUGUGGUGGGGUCACUGGAUGGGAGGGAGGGAGGCCUUGGGGCCCGGAGUACCCUGCCACUACCCAGCAAUUCCAGCUGAUGCCUCCACAUCUUUGGAGUUGGGUCUGAUUGGUGAUGGGUUGGGGGCUUCUCAGUGUUCUACAGUCCAAUACUGCCCAGCUCCGGAGGCUCCUAUUGUACCAGGAGCAGGUGUUGCAUAAGUGCUUUCUGAAGAUCAUGAGACACCUGGUGAGUGAACGAAACCCUGGGUCCCAUGGGCCAGGGGAGACUCGAGCCCCUCCUGGGGCUGGCAAGAGGCCGCGUCCCAGCCAUGGCCUGACCUGGGAUGGGGAUUCUCCAUGAGUUGGAAGUUGGGUUUCCUUUUCUUGCCCCAGAGGAUCCAGAGACGCUGGGACCAGGGCUGAGCUCUGGCUAAGCAGGGCUAAGGGAGUGUGUCCACCGGGCGUCGUGCACGGACGUGUUGGGAGACCCCUGGCCACCACCCAGGGUUCUGCUCCUUGAGGAAGGGUCUGCAGAGGGGCCUGAAAAGGGGGAUUGCAGGGCAGCUCAGGAGGCCCUGAGUACCUCUGCCUCUCCCUGCAGGGCAAGGAAGGACUGUGCAUUGAGUGUUUCAUGCUGCGGUGGCUCCUCCAGUGUUUCAUUGAUGGGAGUGCCUCAUGAAGCUUUCCUGGAGCACCAUCUGGGAGUUUCAGGAGCGACUUUUUCAGAGCUGGGCCCCGGAGGACAACGUGGUCCUCAGGAACCUUCAAACCUCCGUGAAGGAACUCACAAGGAAACACUGGGACCUGCCACCCCCAGGUGGGCUCCAGCACCAAGUCUCCUCCCAAGUCACCCUCUGGGGCAGUCAGUGGUGGGGAGUGCCCUGGCCCUACCAGCCCUCCUACCUGGCCUUCCUCCUGCACCUCUUCCUCCUCUACUCUAAGAAAGUAAAAUGGGUCUGCCACUCCUCAGGGCAGGCACUGAGCGUGUGUGUGCGGGACAUGAGGUGCAGACAGGCAGGGGCUGUGGGCAGGACCCCCCAACUUCCCUCCCCCUCUUUCCACAUUGUCCCCAUCACCCCCUCAAAGGGCCCUGAAGGGCACUGGGGCAGUCAGAUCCAGGUGUGGAAGACCCCACCCCUGCCUCCAAGCAGCAGGAUCCCUCAUUCUUGAGUGCCCCUCCAAGCCUGUCAAGACAACAAGCCAGGAGGACAAGAGAGAAUCAGUGUCCCAGAUCCAGAGAGGAUUUGGGCAGAGGGCACGGGGGGAAGCCCUGACCCAGAGCCAGAACCAAGAGUUCAGCCGGGCAUGGGAUUUGUCCAGCCCUGGCAUGGGGUGGACGGCCUGGAGGGCAGAGGGAAACCCGUGCCCUUCACUUCUCACCCACUGUGGAGACAGACCCCAUGCGAGGUGGCAAGGGGGCUGGGUGACAGUGAAGGUCCCUUUCACCUGAGUUCUGAGUCAGGGCUGCUGAACAGCCCUGAGGUGAGGGAGGGCGUGAGGCAGGAAGCCCUGAGCCAGCCUGAAGCCUGGGAGCCGUUUCAGGACCGACCUGAGGUUCCCUGAAAGCUCCCCCACCCCAGGCUGCACACAGCCCUCACCCUGGGAUCAGCAGCUUGCAGAGGUGUCCUCAGUGUCAGGCCAGAGGACACCCGGGGACCCCAGGACUCCAGAGGCCCAGGGCUGUGGGCCCAGCCCUGGAGAGGCCCCUGAGGCCUCUGACCCCACCUGUGGGUCAGAGCCUGUCCCCCAGGGCCUGAGUCCCAGGCCCAGAGGGACCUGGCUUCAACUCGAGUUGUCCUAGGAGGACAGGGGCACUGCAGAUCUCCAGGUGACCACGCAGGGCACCAGGGCACUGCAAGCCCUGAUGCUGUAAGGAUUCACAUCAGAGAACCUGGGCAAGCCAGGCCAGAGACGCUGAGCCCGUGCAGUGAUGAGGAUGUGGAGGGCUGGCUCAAGGGGGUCAACAGCUGUGAACACUGCUGCCUCUUCCCGGCCUCAUUGUUGCAGUGCAGGCAGUCUGCACCCCGGAGCCUGGCCCAACAGCGCCCCGAGUGCCCUAGUCCACUAUGCCAACAUGGUACCCGGAGGCUUCGAGGCCCUGCCUGCUGCACCACCCGCCUCCUGGAGGCCUUGUUCUGCAGCCUAGCCCCUGCCGCAGCCACAGCAGGCACCACUGCCAAGUGCCUUCCAGCCGGGCUUCCCAGAGGACAGAGGCAUCCUGCAGUCAUUGCCUCAGCAGCUCACACUGUGAAGAUAGUUUCAUCCACAUUCCCAUGUUCCCACCAAAGAGAAUCCCUGCAGAGGGUGCUCUUGAUCCUGCGGUGGGGAAAACAGCACACUAGGUGGACUCAGCUCCUUUCCCUGGCCACCAUGAUUGCUGGAUGGGCCCACAAAGCAGCCAUCAGACAGGCAUGUUGGGGAAGAGCCUAAGCAAUCCUGCUUGUUCCCUGACCAGACCGACACCACUGCCGAGUGCCCCAUCUGCUGAUGAGAGAUUUGGUGUCGAUCCCUGGACUGGCACCAUUUCCCAGGAGGAGCGGCUGGCUACCUGUGGGCAGGCUGCCCACACUGUGGAGAGGGCUGAGAUCGGCCUUCACUACGGGGAGCCCCUACCUGGACAUAGACUCGCCAGCCCUGCCUGUUGCCAUCACAGCAGCCCACAUGGCAUUGCUUGUGACCAGGGUACCCCAUUCACAGUGACGGACAUGCAGCAGUGGCCCUUGACUAGGGAACUAACUCUUCUCGCUACGUCACCCACCGCCUGGAAGCAACUGGACUUAGGAUCGCUGUUAUGCUGAAGUGGUGAGGUUGUCUUACAAGAUGAAUUUUAUCCUUUCUACUGGAAGCCAGUGUAUGGUGAUGACUCCCCCACAACCAGAAGGUGUAGUUCUGAGUGAAGGUGUGAAAGUGGACGAUGUUCAGUGUUGCACCGAAUGUCUCAGUCACAAAGUUUUCCUAUUGCCUGUCCUGGAGAAAUGGAACUUUGCUGGUUGGAAGGUCUUAGGACCCAGGAAGAGUGAAGCUUCCCCCAGGGGAACACAACAAUGGUUCUAUUUAAUAUGAGGAGACAGGACUAAGUCUGAAACCUCGGGGCAUUCUCUGGUGUUCUUGAGUGUUUCCAUGUAAAGGAAGUCAAGUAACUUGCCACAAAGCUUUGCCACAGAAGCAUCUGAAAAAGGAGGGGGCAGAACUAUUCAGAACUCAGAGGUUUCAGAACCAAAGAUGAGGCCGAGAAGAUUCCUGACCCGCUGAGGGCAAGGGAAGUAUGUGGGGGCGGCUGGGAGAGGAUGUUAUAGAGUCCGCCAUGGCCUCGUGACCUGUCACAGAACCGUGCACUUUAAUAGCUGUGCACAUCUUCUCUGCACUGAUUAUAGUAUUUCUUUGCCUUUGCUACUCUCCACACAGGGAGCUUGCUACAAAAUGCACAUAACCACAGCCCGGGUCUUGCAAUCCAAGCCUGGCAAGGAUUCAGCAUGUCAAGGGCUUCAGGUCUGAAGGUCCAUGGCUGUCCUGAAUCCUGGAUAUCACCUUCUUGCCCAAAAAAGGAGGGACGAGGCUCAAACCGCAGCAGGCCACUCACAGAAAGGGACGAAACGUUGAGUGCGUGGCCUCCCUGACACCCAGACAAGACUUUGGGCCCAAAGCCAGGCUGCAGCUCUGGCCACUGACUCAGACCAGGGACGCCCCCAUGCAGGCCGGUGUCCCCUGGCCGCUCUUCUCCCUCCUGCCACCCUCUCUUCGGCUGCUUGUGUCAAUAAAAGGAAAACUGGCCAGUUCUCAGAGAAAAUGUAGCUUUAUUAUGACAUAGGAGAGACUACAAAGCACUGGGGGGGAGGAGGAGUGACACAGCUCCUCAAAAUGGAAGGGGAAAGGAAGAGUAAACAUCUUGGUAAAUAAAGUCUCCAACCACAGCACAGUCAUUGGAAUUUUUUUCUUCAUUUUUAUUUUCAAACUUACAGUAAACAAAACAAUCACUUAAAUUGUCAAAAGAACAGCAAUUUUACACAAUGAAGAGCAUACACACCAAGCCAAAAUACAAUAGCACUCAGGUCUAUAUGUUGCAGUGGUGCUGGCGCUGGAGGGAAUGCCCAGGGAGGCUGCAGUGCUCACCACGAAGCCCAGGUCCACGGAGGGAGCCAAGGUCCACAGAGGGCCCCGGGGCCAGAGGGAGGCCGCCCACACUCCCAGCACAUCACCUGCCUCAAAGCACUCCCUUCAGGCAUCUGAAGAGGGAAAGGCCAUGUGUCUUCCUGGGAGGCACUGAAAGGCCAGCCAGCAUCUCCAAAAUGCAGGCCAUUUUAACACUGCUGUGAAUGUGCUGGGGUCACCAAGGGGGCCCCUUAGUGGUCAGAUGCACUUUGUCACAAUGUACACCUACAUGGGGUGAUUACUAGGCAACGGGAGGUUUCCUGAAUUUCACAGCCAGAUGGGGAGCUAAAAGAAAUUCCUGAACCCAACGCGUAAAUAUUUUGUUCUGACAAAGUAAAUUCACAAGAACACAUCAAACACAAGACCUAAUGCAAGGGGCACUGCCCAGCUCACAAUCCUGUGGGCCAACUUCAGUCAACU